AGCUUUUAUAUUAUUUUAGUAUAUUUUUUUCCAUUUAAAUCAACAACCCUUAUUUAAUAGUUUAUAUAAUGAAUCUACUAUAUGAGCAUAAUGACAAAUCUAUAUAUGAUAAAAUAUAUAAGUCCUUAAAAACCUGCGUACUUUUAUUAAAGAGUGACAUGUAUUCUUCAUCAUUUCAAUUGCAUCAACUUUGCCUGGAUCCAAUUUUUUUCUAUAAAAUCCACACAAAUAUCCA
rnacentral:lncRNA from 1 species